rnacentral:rRNA from 1 species
AGAACGAACGCUGGCGGCAGGCCUCAAACAUGCAAGUCUAGGGGGUGUAGCAAUACAUCACCGGCGGACGGGUGCGUAACGCGUGGGAAUGUACCUAUUGGUUCGGAACAACUGAGGGAAACUUCAGCUAAUACCGGAUGAGCCCGAAAGGGGAAAGAUUUCUCGCCAAUAGAUCAGCCCGCGUCCGAUUAGCUAGUUGGUGGGGUUAAAGCCUACCAAGGCGACGAUCGGUAGCUGUUCUGAGAGGAAGAUCAGCCACACUGGGACUGAGACACGGCCCAGACUCCUACGGGAGGCAGCAGUUGGGAAUCUUGGACAAUGGGGAAACCCUGAUCCAGCCAUGCCGCGUGAGUGAUGAAGGCCUUCGGGUUGUAAAACUCUUUCGACGGGGACGAUAAUGACGGUACCGUAGAAGAAGCUCCGGCUAACUUCGCGCCAGCAGCCGC